CCUCCCCAACCAUGCACGCAUUACACGCAAUCAUCAACAUGCCCAAGCCAAUGUUAACAUCGAUCCGUCUCUCUCUCCUUGGAGCGGCUUUUGCAAGUACAUCUGACAAGCGGCCAAAGCAUCAAGAUUUGAAUAUCUGACUACCUCUUGCGUUUCAUCAUUCUUGUCUUUUGGGUCCAACUAGUAGCAAGAGAGGAGGUAUCGUCUAGUCAGCAACUGUAUUGAAGAUUUUCCCCUUGCACUGGCUAGCUUGUGUUAUCGAUCGG
rnacentral:lncRNA from 1 species